AUUCACGAUUAUUCAGAAUACAUACGAGCAAAUUGUUUGUAUGUAUUCUGCAAUGAUGCGCCUCCAUCUUUAAAUUACACUAGCCAAAGAGGGUCUUACUUCCGCAUUUCGCGCUUUUACAUUGUGAUGAAUGCCAGGGGGAGAUUACUCGAUCUGCUGGCAGAUUUAAAAGUCUGUUGGAGAUGGAGGAUCACGCUUAUACUUUACUAACAUUAGCUUGCAUUCGUUGGGGAACCUGAUAGGUUAUGUUAGCAAUUAAAUGGUACCAAAAUAACAAAAAAGUAAAACUAUUAUUACACUGGAAGGAACACUCACGGAUAAAGUCAAACUCCUUGGAAUAACACGACCACCGUAGAAUUUAAAAUGUGAUCAGAAUGGAAGGGCUAGAAAGUAAUAUUCAGCUGGUUGUCAUAUACAAUUUCACUGUUAGAUGGGAGAACUUCUUACACAAUGUAGCUUUAAAGUAUAAAAAAUACACUGUUUAAAAUACAA